GAUGAACGCUGGCGGCGUGCCUAAUACAUGCAAGUCGAGCGAACAGACGAGGAGCUUGCUCCUCUGACGUUAGCGGCGGACGGGUGAGUAACACGUGGAUAACCUACCUAUAAGACUGGGAUAACUUCGGGAAACCGGAGCUAAUACCGGAUAAUAUAUUGAACCGCAUGGUUCAAUAGUGAAAGACGGUUUUGCUGUCACUUAUAGAUGGAUCCGCGCCGCAUUAGCUAGUUGGUAAGGUAACGGCUUACCAAGGCAACGAUGCGUAGCCGACCUGAGAGGGUGGUCGGCCCCACUGGAACUGAGACACGGUCCAGACUCCUACGGGAGGCAGCAGUAGGGAAUCUUCCGCAAUGGGCGAAAGCCUGACGGAGCAACGCCGCGUGAGUGAUGAAGGUCUUCGGAUCGUAAAACUCUGUUAUUAGGGAAGAACAAAUGUGUAAGUAACUAUGCACGUCUUGACGGUCCCUAAUCAGAAAGCCACGGCUAACUACGUGC
rnacentral:rRNA from 1 species